rnacentral:rRNA from 1 species
GGGUUGUGAGGUUAAGCGACUAAGCGUACACGGUGGAUGCCCUGGCAGUCAGAGGCGAUGAAGGACGUGCUAAUCUGCGAUAAGCGUCGGUGAGGUGAUAUGAACCGUUAUAACCGGCGAUUUCCGAAUGGGGAAACCCAGUGUGUUUCGACACACUAUCAUUAACUGAAUCCAUAGGUUAAUGAGGCGAACCGGGGGAACUGAAACAUCUAAGUACCCCGAGGAAAAGAAAUCAACCGAGAUUCCCCCAGUAGCGGCGAGCGAACGGGGAGGAGCCCAGAGCCUGAAUCAGUGUGUGUGUUAGUGGAAGCGUCUGGAAAGGCGCGCGAUACAGGGUGACAGCCCCGUACACAAAAAUGCACAUAUUGUGAGCUCGAUGAGUAGGGCGGGACACGUGGUAUCCUGUCUGAAUAUGGGGGGACCAUCCUCCAAGGCUAAAUACUCCUGACUGACCGAUAGUGAACCAGUACCGUGAGGGAAAGGCGAAAAGAACCCCGGCGAGGGGAGUGAAAAAGAACCUGAAACCGUGUACGUACAAGCAGUGGGAGCCUCUUAAUGGGGUGACUGCGUACCUUUUGUAUAAUGGGUCAGCGACUUAUAUUCUGUAGCAAGGUUAACCGAAUAGGGGAGCCGAAGGGAAACCGAGUCUUAACUGGGCGUUAAGUUGCAGGGUAUAGACCCGAAACCCGGUGAUCUAGCCAUGGGCAGGUUGAAGGUUGGGUAACACUAACUGGAGGACCGAACCGACUAAUGUUGAAAAAUUAGCGGAUGACUUGUGGCUGGGGGUGAAAGGCCAAUCAAACCGGGAGAUAGCUGGUUCUCCCCGAAAGCUAUUUAGGUAGCGCCUCGUGAAUUCAUCUCCGGGGGUAGAGCACUGUUUCGGCAAGGGGGUCAUCCCGACUUACCAACCCGAUGCAAACUGCGAAUACCGGAGAAUGUUAUCACGGGAGACACACGGCGGGUGCUAACGUCCGUCGUGAAGAGGGAAACAACCCAGACCGCCAGCUAAGGUCCCAAAGUCAUGGUUAAGUGGGAAACGAUGUGGGAAGGCCCAGACAGCCAGGAUGUUGGCUUAGAAGCAGCCAUCAUUUAAAGAAAGCGUAAUAGCUCACUGGUCGAGUCGGCCUGCGCGGAAGAUGUAACGGGGCUAAACCAUGCACCGAAGCUGCGGCAGCGACGCUUAUGCGUUGUUGGGUAGGGGAGCGUUCUGUAAGCCUGUGAAGGUGGCCUGUGAGGGUUGCUGGAGGUAUCAGAAGUGCGAAUGCUGACAUAAGUAACGAUAAAGCGGGUGAAAAGCCCGCUCGCCGGAAGACCAAGGGUUCCUGUCCAACGUUAAUCGGGGCAGGGUGAGUCGACUCCUAAGGCGAGGCCGAAAGGCGUAGUCGAUGGGAAACAGGUUAAUAUUCCUGUACUUGGUGUUACUGCGAAGGGGGGACGGAGAAGGCUAUGUUGGCCGGGCGACGGUUGUCCCGGUUUAAGCGUGUAGGCUGGUUUUCCAGGCAAAUCCGGAAAACCAAGGCUGAGGCGUGAUGACGAGGCACUACGGUGCUGAAGUGACAAAUGCCCUGCUUCCAGGAAAAGCCUCUAAGCAUCAGGUAACAUCAAAUCGUACCCCAAACCGACACAGGUGGUCAGGUAGAGAAUACCAAGGCGCUUGAGAGAACUCGGGUGAAGGAACUAGGCAAAAUGGUGCCGUAACUUCGGGAGAAGGCACGCUGAUAUGUAGGUGAAGCGACUUGCUCGUGGAGCUGAAAUCAGUCGAAGAUACCAGCUGGCUGCAACUGUUUAUUAAAAACACAGCACUGUGCAAACACGAAAGUGGACGUAUACGGUGUGACGCCUGCCCGGUGCCGGAAGGUUAAUUGAUGGGGUUAGCGGUAACGCGAAGCUCUUGAUCGAAGCCCCGGUAAACGGCGGCCGUAACUAUAACGGUCCUAAGGUAGCGAAAUUCCUUGUCGGGUAAGUUCCGACCUGCACGAAUGGCGUAAUGAUGGCCAGGCUGUCUCCACCCGAGACUCAGUGAAAUUGAACUCGCUGUGAAGAUGCAGUGUACCCGCGGCAAGACGGAAAGACCCCGUGAACCUUUACUAUAGCUUGACACUGAACAUUGAGCCUUGAUGUGUAGGAUAGGUGGGAGGCUUUGAAGUGUGGACGCCAGUCUGCAUGGAGCCGACCUUGAAAUACCACCCUUUAAUGUUUGAUGUUCUAACGUUGGCCCCUGAUC